UACGUAGGGUGCAAGCGUUAAUCGGAAUUACUGGGCGUAAAGCGUGCGCAGGCGGUUUUGUAAGUCUGUCGUGAAAUCCCCGGGCUCAACCUGGGAAUUGCGAUGGAGACUGCAAGGCUUGAAUCUGGCAGAGGGGGGUAGAAUUCCACGUGUAGCAGUGAAAAUGCGUAGAGAUGUGGAGGAACACCGAUGGCGAAGGCAGCCCCCCUGGGUCAAGAUUGACGCUCAUGCACGAAAAGCGUGGGGGAGCAAACAGG
rnacentral:rRNA from 1 species